UCUCCGAGGAGGCCCUACAAAAGCAGCGCAAGCGGGGCAAACAGCCGUUGAAAAGAAAAAUGGCCACGACCGGCGGCUCCAAAACGGAAUCAAAGAAAGCUAACACAAAGGUUUUUCAGCUGCCGGGUAGCAGCGCACGUACCAACAGAACUGUUUCAUUCCCCGAACCACCAGAGGCGAGCACCAACGCCCGCCUGCCGGGUAGUAGCGCACGUACCAACAGAACUGUUUCAUUCCCCGAACCACCAGAGGCGAUCACUAACGCCCACGACAGUUGGCUGGCGGAAAAUACCGCA